AUCGUCAAGCGAACGUUUUUUUGUGGCGUUUCUGUUAAGAAACAUUACUAAACUUAGAUUAUUUUUGAAAAAAAGAAUAGUUAAACUUGAUUAAUAUAUAACAUUUAUGUGUGGUUGAAAAUUUUUGUAUUGCUUUUAUUUGUAUUAAAAACUUGGUUGUUGUUCUCACAUUAAAUUAUUGUCAAAGAAAUGCUCAGAUAGUUUGCAAACCUACCCAGAUAGUUUUUUACAUAUAUUUUUUAUCUACCUACCAAAUUUCAUUGAAAAAUAUUAUUGAGCAGAUAGUCUAUAAAAGUGAGCAGUUUUGGUACCUUAUUUCUGUUUUUCUGAUUUCCGUAAGUGGGUGGUAAGAGGGGUACGAACAAGUUUAAUUUUAUUUGUGUGACUUGUUUAUAGUUUCUAAAAUUUUAUUGGUUUCAUUGAAAUUGAAAACAUAAGCGUUGAUUACUAUAAUUCUAGCUAUAGGUUGUGGGUAACCAUUACCACUCUAUUUAACAAACUUCUCAACUUAACCAAAAUUUACGAAUAGCAGCGAAAAGACUUUUUUUUCAAAAGUAGGCUCGGUUGUGGUCUUUAUCUUUAGCUUGUAGAUUAUACUUGGUGCAAAAUGCCUAGUUCAGGUUGGAGGGGGGGCACACGCCCCUCCCAUGUCAAUAAGCACACCACCAAUAAAUGAAAUUCUUGUAGCAAAAAAAUUUUUUAUGUUUUUUAUACUGUGUACUAGUUUCACUUAUUUUAUUAAAUAUAGAAAUAUUUAUUUAUAAUUAGAGAAUUAAAUAUUUUUGAAAUUAGGGUGUGUUAAACCAUCACCACCAUAUCCACCACCAACUUUAAUAAACAUCAAUCUUUGACGGUCUGGAAUA